AACGAACGCUGGCGGCAGGCCUAACACAUGCAAGUCGAACGGACGUAGCAAUACGUUAGUGGCGCACGGGAGAGUAACGCGUGGGAACCUACCUUUUGGUUCGGGAUACCAUCGGGAAACUGGUGCUAAUACCGGAUAAGCCCUUCGGGGGAAAGAUUUAUUGCCGAAAGAGGUGCCCGCGUUGGAUUAGCUAGUUGGUGAGGGAAUGGCUCACCAAGGCAACGAUCCAUAGCUGGUCUGAGAGGAUGAUCAGCCUCACUGGGACGGAGACACGGCCCAGACUCCUACGGGAGGCAGCAGUGGGGAAUAUUGGACAAUGGGGGAAACCCUGAUCCAGCCAUGCCGCGUGAAUGAUGAAGGCCUUCGGGUUGUAAAGUUCUUUUGGUGGGGACGAUGAUGACGGUACCCACAGAAUAAGCUCCGGCUAACUUCGUGCCAGCCGCCGCCGUAACAC
rnacentral:rRNA from 1 species